GGGAUUCCCCUAGUAACGGCGAGUGAAGCGGGAACAGCUCAAAUUUGAAAUCUGGCCCUCGGGUCCGAAUUGUAAUUUGUAGAGGAUGCUUUUGGUUAGGUACUUUCCGAGUUCCCUGGAACGGGACGCCUUAGAGGGUGAGAGCCCCGUACGGUUGGAUACCGAGCCUCUGUAAAGCUCCUUCGACGAGUCGAGUAGUUUGGGAAUGCUGCUCUAAAUGGGAGGUAAAUUUCUUCUAAAGCUAAAUACUGGCCAGAGACCGAUAGCGCACAAGUAGAGUGAUCGAAAGAUGAAAAGCACUUUGAAAAGAGGGUUAAAUAGCACGUGAAAUUGUUGAAAGGGAAGCGUUUAUGACCAGACUUUUUCCAGGCGGAUCAUCCGGUGUUCUCACCGGUGCACUUCGUCUGGUUGAGGCCAGCAUCGGUUUUCGUGGUGGGAUAAAAGCAGUAGGAAUGUGACUCCUCCGGGAGUGUUAUAGCCUAUUGUAUAAUACCGCCAUGGGGACCGAGGUUCGCGCUCUGCAAGGAUGCUGGCGUAAUGGUCAUCAACGACCCGUCUUGAAACACGGACCAAGGAGUCGAACAUUUGUGCGAGUGUUUGGGUGUUAAACCCUCACGCGUAAUGAAAGUGAACGGAGGUGAGAGCCCUUACGGGUGCAUCAUCGACCGAUCCUGAUGUUUUCGGAUGGAUUUGAGUAAGAGCAUAACUGUUCGGACCCGAAAGAUGGUGAACUAUGCGUGGAUAGGGUGAAGCCAGAGGAAACUCUGGUGGAGGCUCGCAGCGGUUCUGACGUGCAAAUCGAUUCGUCAAAUCUGCGCAU
rnacentral:rRNA from 1 species